rnacentral:lncRNA from 1 species
CUGGGAAGGAGACAGAGAGUGAGUCUCGGAGACACCACAUAGCUGCUGAAGGAGUAACAUUCUAGAGCAUUACUGGACUGAUUGACUAAAAUCCAGCUGUCUCCACUGAUCCACGGCAGUAGACUUAUGGAUGUACUCAACAACCACACCUGGAUCUUUUACAAGAAUCUUGGGAAUACGAACUCGUGUUCUUAUGGUCGCAGACACUUUGCCAACUGAGCCAUUUCAUCAGCCCCAACUUCAUGUCUUUAUAAAAGCACUCAACUUCAACUUUUCAGAAUACUAACAGAAAGCAAACCAAUACAUUAAUUAGGAUGACACACCAGUUUCCUUAUGUUUAAGAACAUCAU